AGCUCGUGCGUGAGGUGUGGUAGUCCGCACGAGCGCAACCCUAUUGCCAGUUGCUACCAGGUAAUGCUGGGCACUCUGGUGAGACUGCCCCGGUUAACGGGGAGGAAGGUGGGGACGACGUCAAGUCAUCAUGGCCCUUACGCCUAGGGCUACACACGUACUACAAUGGCGCAUACAAAGGGCAGCGAUACCGCGAGGUGGAGCCAAUCCCAAAAAGUGCGUCCCAGUCCGGAUUGCAGUCUGCAACUCGACUGCAUGAAGUUGGAAUCGCUAGUAAUUCGAGAUCAGCAUGCUCGGGUGAAUGCGUUCCCGGGCCUU
rnacentral:rRNA from 1 species